rnacentral:rRNA from 1 species
GUCUACGGCCAUGCCACCCUGAUCUCGGAAGAUAAGCAGGCAGGGUUGGGCCUGGUUAGUGCUUGGAUGGGAGACCACCUAGGAAGACCAGGUGCUGUAGGCG